ensembl:lncRNA
AAAAUACUCACUUUUAUCCAUUGUCUUGGAGAGCCGUCCGAGAAAGUUUUCUGGUUCAAGUGAUCGUUUGAACGCGUCAAAUUUAUAAAGGUGUCCGUGAAGGAAAUCGGUGUUGAGUGACCGCUGGGUGUCAUCCUUGUUCUAUGAAUGAACUUGUUCAAUAGGUGGGAAGCUGAGCAAGGGUCGCUCCGACCCUUGUCACCGUAAAUUCGCGGGGAAGAGAGACGCUAGGGGGUGACCGACCGUAAUUCAUAGAUGCACUCGUCAGAAAACUGUCAAAAACAUGCUACUCCUGCAUGAGAUAUGACGGUUUUAAUGAACAAUGUCUGUAAAGAUAUUAUGGUUUUGUUUAUCUGAAACAGUCGGUUUGAGUAUAUUUUUUAUAACCGUUCGUGGACACUGAGAACUCGCGCAUGCAGGGCACGCGCACUCUCUCUGUCUGUCUGACAGCGCGGAGGCUGCCUAUAUUCUGAGACAGGGUAAGACCAUUCAGAGAGAGUCCGACAGAUGGAGCUGCGAGCCCGUUUCUCACAAAGCUGAAGCUUCGGUCUAAAAUAAGUGUGGCUUCUCCAGUUACCUACGAAGAAGCAAAUGGGCCAUCCACAUCCAACACAGCACCCAUCUCAGAGGGGCCGGGGCCGUGGUCGCAGCUGUAGCUGUACUAUAAGUACAUGGGGGGAGUUUACACCCCCAACAAGAUGCUCGGAACAAAGUCGGUGCACCAUAAAACAAGUGCAGCCCUGGACAGAGGAAAAAUGCCAGCCUUGCGAAACCCGGCUUUGAUGUUUUGGACUGUGACAGCAGUGGGGUAGACAUGUUUGAGGAAAGCUGAAAACUGCUUCUUCCCACAACAAUGUCCCCUCGCACCAGACCCAUCCUGGAAGCCAUGGUGGAGAAAGCAGUCUUCAGUGGGUUGAAGACCGCAAUAUCGAGGGGCUGUAGUAUGUGUGUGGUGUGGGCAGGUAGGCAGAGAAUUUCCAUCUUGUUUUCUCUGCAGAACAUGAUUACAUCUUUUCAUACAUGUGUCUCGUGUUGGUCCAUGAUUAAAAUUAGUGGUCUCUCAUAUCUGAUGAAAUGGAGCCAUUUCAAGAAGAGCUCUGAGUCCAUGUAACCCUUCUCCUGGAUGCCAUAGAGAGCGUUUGGGGGCCCAU